ACGUUUCCCUGGAGUCUUGGCACCGGAAGAUCUUUCUCUUUUUCCUUUUGCUCAAUUCCCAGCUGCUUUGCAGCCUGAACUUCUGCCUACCCAUCUACAACGCCCCGUGGCAGCUCCCAUCUGGGCUACAGCAGUGCCUGUCGAGGCAGGGUGUGAUCCAAGCCCCUACGCCUUCCAGAAGCCCUUCCCCUCUCUGACGGCAGGCCGGUGUCCUCCCGAAGCGGACCGGUUCGGGUGACCGACACACCUAGAUUCUGGUUUGAGCUGUUAUAGUUGCUAGCUGUGCAGUCUCCAGAAACUUCUCCCACCCCCUUGGACCCGGGUUUCCUUUUCUGUGAAGUGGGACUGGGAAUCUCUGUUCUGCCUACCUUCUAGGGUUAUUUUGAAGAGGAGAAAAAGACGCUACACAUUCAUUGCAUCAUUUACGAAACGGAUAUUGAUCACUCAGCCGUGUGCCAGCCGCUGGAGAUGAAAGGCCGUCGUUCAACUGUAACGUGUUAUACAAAUACGACGCUCUCCUCCGAUGCGGAAAAUUCACAACCCGCUGGGUCAGACUGGGUGUGUUUGCUCUGCUUCCCUCACCUGUCUUCUCUCCCGGUAAGAGUGACUGCUAGCUACCUGAGUUCUGCCCGCCCACAAACAUUCAGGGCAAAGCUAGGUCUAGUAAGAGAACUUCAUAAAUGGAAAACAUCAGCUGGCAUUAGAAAGAUCUAUGGUGACGAAGCCUCUGUGUGUUUGGAAGCCUCACUAAUCUUGCACCAGAAGGCCGUCCGUGAGGGGAUGGUCAGUGACAUUUUUCCUAUUUGCUGCAGCAUUGACAAGCAGGGCCCCAGACCGAGGACAAAGAGGAGAGCAUCACAAAUUGGCCAACGUUGGACAACAGAGUAACAGGAGCAAAGCAUCACUCCAGGUGGGCAGGCAGGAAACAGCUGGCUGGGAAAGGCGCCCAUGACCCAUUGCCCCAGUCCACCCUUGGCCUGGGAGAAGUCAGACCGGAAGUGGCCAGGGAACUUGCAAGACCUGCAAAGAGCCGGACUUUGCUCCACAUGGCUACACUGGUCAACAUGUGUCAACAUGGUCAACACUGGCUCAACAUGGCGGUCAACAGCUACACUGAGUACACGAAAUGCAGCCAGUUUGAAUUGACAUAUACUGUAAGUAUAACACUUCAACUUCGAAGAGUGAGUACAAGAGGGAAAAAUAGCUCAUUAAUGAUUU